UCGAACGCGCAGUCUUCUGUAGCAAUACAGAGGAUGGGCGCGUGGCGAACGGGUGCGUAACACGUGGGCAACCUGCCCUCAUGUGGGGAAUAACCCCGCGAAAGCGGGGCUAAUACCGCAUAACAUUCCGAUGGCACAUGCUGUCGGAAUCAAAGGCCGCAAGGCCGCAGGAGGUGGGGCCCGCGCCCGAUUAGCUUGUUGGCGAGGUAACGGCUCACCAAGGCUUUGAUCGGUAGCCGGUCUGAGAGGAUGGCCGGCCACACUGGAACUGAGACACGGUCCAGACUCCUACGGGAGGCAGCAGUGGGGAAUCUUGCGCAAUGGGCGAAAGCCUGACGCAGCAACGCCGCGUGGGGGAUGAAGCUUCUCGGAGUGUAAACCCCUUUCGACCCGGAAGAAAGCCCGCAAGGGUUUGACGGUACGGGUAUAAGAAGCCCCGGCUAACUACGUG
rnacentral:rRNA from 1 species